rnacentral:lncRNA from 1 species
CAAUAUAGGGCCAUAGGGGCAUAUAGGGCCAUAUGGGGCCAUAGACCCACAUAGGGCCAUAGGGCAAUAUGGUUUCCAUGGGGCCAUAUAGGUCCACAUAGGGCCAUAGGGAUCCAAUGGGGCCACAUAGGGCCACAUGGAGCCUUGGGGCCGUAUAUGGCCAUAGGUCCCCGUAGGGCCAUGUGGGGCCACGUGGGGCCGCGCACCCCCUCCGCGGCCGCCCUGGCCCUGCGCAGCGCCGUGCCGCCGGGGUGCCGGAUGCAGACGCUGACGCUCCGCGCGUCCUCGGCGCGGUUCCGCAGCCUGAAAGCGGCGCUGAACGAAGCCGCCGGUCCUCCGAGCUGAACCCAGCCGCCAGGGGGCGCCACCUCCGACAGCUCCAAAUCCGGCUGACACAGCCCGUCCGCGCCGCAGUGCUGCUCGAAGGGGAUCUGCGGGCAGCGGGGGGGCAUGGGGGGUCGCCCCCCCCUACCUGGACACUCAGGCUCUCAUUGAGGCACUGCUGCCCCCCCCGCAGCUCCAGCCGCCCCUCCCACUUUUGGGAUCCGGAACUCAGAGACCCCCGACCCAAACGGCGCUGGGGGUCCACGGCCAGCAAGAACACGAUGGGGAGCUGCAGCUGGCCUGCGGGGUUACGGGAUGCGGAUGGAAGCAGAGCUGCAGCCCCACAGCGUCGCCAGCCACCCCACAGCGACCCCAGAAGAUCGGGAGGCGCCGAACCGAAACCGAGAGCUGAGCCGCCACCGAGAGCAGCGGGACCGAGCUGUGGGGAUCCCGUAGCCAUCCCAUAA